CUAGCCGUAAACGAUGCUCGCUAGGUGUCAGUCACGGUGCGACCGUGAUUGGUGCCGUAGGGAAGCCGUGAAGCGAGCCACCUGGGAAGUAUGGCCGCAAGGCUGAAACUUAAAGGAAUU
rnacentral:rRNA from 1 species